rnacentral:rRNA from 1 species
GAGUGGCGAACGGGUGAGUAACGCGUGAAGAACCUGCCUUCAACAGGGGGAUAACACUCCCAACGGGGUGCUAAUACCGCAUGAGACCACGGGUCUGCAUGGACCUGAGGUCAAAGGUGGCCUCUGCUUGCAAGCUACCGGUUGAAGAUGGCUUCGCGUCCCAUUAGCUAGUUGGCGGUGUAACGGACCACCAAGGCGACGAUGGGUAGCUGGUCUGAGAGGAUGGUCAGCCACACUGGGACUGAGAUACGGCCCAGACUCCUACGGGAGGCAGCAGUCGAGAGGCUUCGGCAAUGGGGGAAACCCUGACCGAGCGACGCCGCGUGGAGGAUGAAGGCCCCUGGGUUGUAAACUCCUUUUGCUGGGGAAGAAACGCGAUCAGGUGAACAAUCUGGUCGUUUGACGGUACCCGGCGAAUAAGCUCCGGCUAACUCCGUGCCAGCAGCCGCGGUAACACGGGGGGAGCAAGCGUUGUUCGGAAUCACUGGGCGUAAAGGGCGUGUAGGCGGUCAGGUAAGUGGGAUGUGAAAUCCCUCGGCUCACCCGAGGAUCUGCAUUCCAAACUGCUUGGCUUGAGUAUGGGAGAGGAUGAGGGAAUUCCUGGUGUAGCGGUGAAAUGCGUAGAUAUCAGGAGGAACACCGGUGGCGAAAGCGCUCAUCUGGCCCAAUAC